rnacentral:lncRNA from 1 species
GAAACAAACUUUAUUUUUAGAACACACACAAAUGGCACCACACAGCUCCUCAGGAAAACCUUCAGAGCCCAACUGCCACCACCGGCUUCCCCCAAGCCUCUCCACCUCCCCCAUUCCUCCUGCUCUUGAGGCCGAUUGGCUGGGUUUCAUGGGCGGAGCCAAAAAAAGUCCCCCAAUGAGCAGCUCCAUGGCCUGAAAGGGUGGGGAAGCAGCCCAAUGAGCAUCACCGCAGAGGAGCCAAUCAGUUGGCAGCUAGAAGUUUGCUGGGGCUCCUGUGAGCCAAUCAUCAGCUGGAAGCUGGAAGUUUGCUGGCAGCUGGAAGUUUGCUGGGGCCCCUUCCGCUGUGGCUCUCAACAAGCCCCACCAAGCCAGGGAGCAGAUGCAAGGUCAGGGCCCAGAGGCACAGGAGUCUGCAGAUCCGAGCCCUGAGUGAGGACCAGCAGAGUGCAUCCAGCAGCGCCCAGCAGGAUGGAGGUGCUCAGGGCUGUCCUCCUGGCCCUGCUGCUGUGCGGGCAAUCAGGGUGUGAACAGGCACAGGAGGAAGAUGCUGAUGACAUGGACUUGGGGCCGGAGAGCUACGGUUAUGAUGAUGAGGACGAGGACGACGAGGAGACCAACGUGGCCCCUGGCACAGAGCGCCUGCAGUGCUACUUCUGCCAGUCCCUGCACAGGGGCGAGAACUGCACCCACAUGCAGAGCUGCCCUAGCCACGCCUCCUGCAUCACACUGAUCUCCCACGGAAACACAGACUCAGGUUUCCUGACCACCUACUCCAUGUGGUGUGUGGACACGUGCCAGCCUAUUAUCAAGACAGUAGAUGGAACCCAGAUGACCAAGACCUGCUGCCAGUCCACCCUGUGCAAUGUCCCACCCUGGCAGAGGCCCCAAAUGCGGGAUCCUCUGGGUGGCAGGGCAGGCAGCCCACAGGACGGUGGAGCUGGCCAUCCCAAGGGAGGCAGGGCAGGCAGCUCCCAAGAUGGCGGAGCUGGCCAUCCCCAGGAAGGGGAGGCAGACAGCCCCCAAGACAGUGGAACUGGCCAUCCCCAGGGCAGUGGGGCUGGCCAUCCCCAGGGCAGCAGGCCUGGACAUCCCCGGAGUGGUGGGGCUGGCCAUUCCCAGGGAGGCAAGAUAGGCAGCCCCCAAGAUAGUGGAACUGGCCAUCCCCAGGGCAGCAGGCCUGGACAUCCCCAGAGUGGUGGAGCUGGCCGUCCCCAGGGUGGCAGGGCAGGUGGCCCCCUAGGAUGUCCCCAAAAUGUGGGUACAGCCCUCCUGCUCAGCCUCCUCACCAACCUUUGGGCAACGGGGGCCUGAAGACUCGCCCUCUCCCACCACUUAGGCCCUGGCCUGGCGCUCUGUCCAGUGCCUCCCCUACCCCAUCUCCAGCCUGAGAAUAAACCUGGAAUGUCCUUCAUGACUCAGCCAGCUCGGGCUCUCUUGGCCAGUGUGUCUGCAAUCCCUCCCAAGGUCCUGUUGUAGCCAACACAGGACAUCAGUCCUGAGGACAGAGAGCAGGACACCAGAGGCUCUGGGAGGGGCUACCCUCUCUCAUCCAGCCAUCUAGAGUGGCAAGGUGGG